rnacentral:rRNA from 1 species
CCUACGGGUGGCAGCAGUGAGGAAUAUUGGUCAAUGGCCGGAAGGUUGAACCAGCCAAGCCGCGUGAAGGACGAAGGUGCCAAGCAUUGUAAACUUCUUUUGUCAAGGGACAAAAUCAGGCUCGAGAGCCUGACCGAGGGUACUUGAAGAAAAAGCAUCGGCUAACUCCGUGCCAGCAGCCGCGGUAAUACGGAGGAUGCGAGCGUUAUCCGGAUUUAUUGGGUUUAAAGGGUGCGUAGGCGGGCUGUGAAGUCAGCGGUAAAAGCCCGGGGCUCAACCCCGCCGAGCCGUUGAAACUGGCGGUCUUGAGUGGGCGAGAGGUAUGCGGAAUGCGUGGUGUAGCGGUGAAAUGCUUAGAUAUCGCGCAGAACUCCGAUUGCGAAGGCAGCAUACCGGCGGCGAUCUGACGCUGAGGCACGAAAGCGUGGGUAUCGAACAGGAUUAGAUACCCGAGUAGUC